CUGAGUGAGGGCCCCUCGGGGUCCAACCUCCCACCCGUGUUUACUUGUACCCCGUUGCUUCGGCGGGCCGGCCUCGCGGCCGCCGGGGGGCUACUGCCCCCGGGCCUGUGCCCGCCGAAGACCCCCUGAACCCUGUCUGAAGAGUGUAGUCUGAGCGGUUAGCGAAUUUAGUUA
rnacentral:misc_RNA from 1 species